CCUACGGGAGGCAGCAGUGGGGAAUAUUGGGCAAUGGGCGCAAGCCUGACCCAGCAACGCCGCGUGAAGGAAGAAGGCUUUCGGGUUGUAAACUUCUUUUCUCAGGGACGAAGCAAGUGACGGUACCUGAGGAAUAAGCCACGGCUAACUACGUGCCAGCAGCCGCGGUAAUACGUAGGUGGCAAGCGUUAUCCGGAUUUACUGGGUGUAAAGGGCGUGUAGGCGGGACUGCAAGUCAGAUGUCAAAACCACGGGCUCAAACUGUGGCCUGCAUUUGAAACUGUAGUUCUUGAGUACUGGAGAGGCGGACGGAAUUCCUAGUGUAGCGGUGAAAUGCGUAGAUAUUAGGAGGGGCACCAGUGGCGAGGGCGGUCUGCUGGACAGCAACUGACGCUGAGGCGCGAAAGCGUGGGGAGCAAACAGGAUUAGAUACCCUUGUAGUA
rnacentral:rRNA from 1 species